GGAUCAUCCCUACUGCUACCUUUUCCACACCUACUGCUGCCUCCUUAGCAGAAUCUCCCAUGUGAGUUUCAAAGCCUCUCCUCCCUCCCACAGAUCUAGUCUGACUCCCUCACACAUCUCAACUCCCAGGCAGAACUAGGCAGAUGAGGCCUGAAACCGUUGCCCUGGAAAUCAUAAAAGAAUCCUAAAUUCAUGGAAGUUAAGGUCUGGAGGGGCUGUAAAUUCACUUAAUGCAAAAAAAUCCUCUUACUUCAGACAUGUCAUCACCGGUGGAAGCUCCCUGAGAGCAGGCUCUUCAGAUGUCAUCUUCAUACUAUACAUGCAGGUCCUUAGCACAGUGCCUGCCCCAGAGAUGGUGCUCAAUAUGUAUGUGUUAAAUAGAUGUGGAAUGAAUACCUCAGUUGAGUGUGUUCUAUGUCCUGGGAACUAUCACAGAGAAGAGAGAUGAAAAUAGGAAUAAAACAUGCUCUCUGCCUCAAGAAACGUUGCAAACUCAAAUGCCUUACCAAGGCCAUGAGGAUGCUCUACAAGUGAAGCAGGCGGAGAAGUAAACCAGAGCAUGGUGAGCAGUGGGAGAUGCCUAAUGAAGAUGGAAGGGACAGAUGGCACCCAGAAGAACCUGAGAGCAGCCAGUGUUAACUUGGGAAUGGAUGGAUGGGUGCUGUUUGAAAACAGCGGGAGAGGGAGCAGUAAAGAGCAAAGGUGCUGCGAUUAGAUGGCAGCUCUGUUUUGAACGGCUCAUUCAAGCGUGACAAGAUGCUAUGGUACAGGUUAAUUCCAGAAGAAAUUCAAUUGAAAUAUGAAGACUGUCAGAGAAAAGACGGAAAAACCCAGAGAAGCCAACUGAGACGGGUAUCAGUGAUGCUCAUGAG
rnacentral:lncRNA from 1 species